AUGGAGGCUUCCAUAUCUGCAGUUACAGGUGAAUUGGUGAGUCGUUUCAUCUCCUUCCUGAUGAACAAGUACCACUCCUUGAGCCAUGCACAAUCAGAGAAGGUGGUGGACAGAUUGCAGCACCUCCUGAUGAGAGUCAGCAUCGUCGUCGAGGAAGCGGAUGGGCGGUACAUAACCAACUCUGGGAUGAUAUUGCAGCUCAAGAUGCUCUCAGAUGCCAUGUACAGAGGACACCACACGCUGGACACCUUGAGGUACCAAACACUCCAAGAUAGUGCCGACUCAUCUAGCAGCAGCUUGCAUUUAUCCAUUCCUUCCAAGCGUUCUCGAACGAAAACUGAGAAUGAUGACAAGGCCAUGCGCCUCGAGUCAGAAGGUGCCUUGGAAAGCUUAGAAAUUGCAGUUGCUAACAUGGUAGAAUUUGUUGUGCUCCUGGGUGGAUGCGAGCGCAUGUCUCGUAGGCCAUAUGAUAUUUAUCUUUACACCAACAACUUCAUGUUCAGCCGACAUGCUGAAAAGCAAAAGCUCUUGAGAUUCUUGUUGGAGCACAACGACUCUCCUGGUGAUCAUGCACCGGCAGUUCUUCCGAUCAUAGGUGGUGGUGGAGUUGGGAAGAAGACAUUGGUUGCUCAUGUUUGUGGCGACGAACAGGUUCGCUCACGCUUCUCCUCUAUUUUGCACUUGAAUGGAGACAACCUAUUGGCGAUACUUGACCAUGGAAGGACCAUGUUUGGGAUGAUGCUGGUCGUUAUUGAGUUUGCUUCUGAUGUAGUUGACGAUGACUGGGAAAAAUUUCACUCAUUUCUCAUAAGAAUGAGCAGAGGAAGCAAAAUCAUCAUCAUAAGUAAACUCAAAAGAUUAGCCAGGUUUGGAUCAGUGCAACCUAUUUUCCUAAGUGUUUUAUCUUAUGACGAGUUGAGGUACCUCUUCAAGACACUAGCAUUCGGGAGUGUAGACCCUGCCGAACAUCCACAGCUAGUACAAAUAGCAGACGAGUUUACCAGGGAGUUGCAUAGUGUCCGAGGUUCACUUGUUGAAAUAAAUGUGUUCGCAGAUGCAUUGAGAAGGAAUCAUCAUGCUCAGUUUUGGCGUUGCAUAUUGGAUAAGGGGGUGAAAAUGGUUAAAAGAAACCUGUCAAGCUAUGGUUUGCAUCCAAACAAGCUUAUAGAACAAGGCCGUCCAGUGAACAUAACGGACCUUGCUUUGCAUCCGCUUAGCUUGCUACCUUACACACUCAAGGAGGAUUCACCAAGUGUGACACUGGGGGACCUUCUGGCAGAUCCUAGUGUUAGACCGGAAGGAGACUUCACUCUAAUUGCCUGGAAAUCAAGGAUACCCCCUCAUAGAUCAUAUCUUCAUUGUGUUACAAGUCGUGCUCAGGAUGUACAUGAAGGUGGUGCCUUGCCAGCGAGGAAGCGACGAGGACUGCCAAUCUGA
rnacentral:rRNA from 1 species